rnacentral:rRNA from 1 species
UACGGGGGGAGCAAGCGUUGUUCGGAUUUACUGGGCGUAAAGGGCGCGUAGGCGGCGCAACAAGUCACUUGUGAAAUCUCCGGGCUUAACCCGGAGCGGCCAAGUGAUACUGUCGUGCUAGAGUGCGGAAGGGGCUACUGGAAUUCUCGGUGUAGCGGUGAAAUGCGUAGAUAUCGAGAGGAACACCUGCGGCGAAGGCGGGUAGCUGGGCCGACACUGACACUGAGGCGCGAAAGCCAGGGGAGCGAACGGG